GCCAGGGAUGGUGGAUUUUUUGAUACCGUGUCUCGCAACGUGGCCUCCUGUUCGAGCAGAUUCCUCGGAAGAGUGUCGUAUACGUCCGUGAAGAGCUCGGACAAUGGAGAAGAAGCGAUGUUGAUGGUUGCUUGCGAAGAAAUUCAAUGUACCUCUUUUCGCGCC